CCGACACUGAUGAAAAACGCACUGCGCAUGCGUUGGGAGAAAAACAAAAUGGCGGACAAUAACAAUUGAUCACAUCUAAAGAAUCCGACCAUGUGAUUAUCUGCAAAUUAGCCAUGCUGGAUGUCGACGUCGGGCCGCGAGUGACGGCAUUUUCAAAGAUUAUUUUUGCUUUGUAUAAGCAAAAGUUUUUUUGUAUAAAUCAGCAGUGUAUCACUAUCGAAAUUAUCUUGCUAUUGCGAAAAGGACAACCUUAA